rnacentral:sRNA from 10 species
UUUACAAAAGGCAUAUAAUCUGCCAAAAUACCUAAUCGCGUAGGUCUGAAAAAUUCAGACCCAUUCUUAAUUAGAUUAAUAGAAUGUCCAAGCGCG